CUGUGUAAGAGGAAGGGCUGCGAGGGCUCCCCAACGUGGACUAAGAUCAAUCCUAAAGCUUUGGGUUACCAGAUCAGUACGAAUGGAAGUGUUGCCAACAACCCCUGUACAACACUGGGGAUCCAAUGCGACGUCGUCUCAGAUCAGUUAGUGGGCUAUAAGGUGGUGACUGGUCUGCUGUGUGUUCUGGUGCUGGUGGUGCUGAUGGUGCGUUUCGGGCAGCCCUCCCUCAAGGCCCUCCGUAGGAGACGUGAGUACCAGGCACCUGGGCCUGCAUCCACAAAGCUUGGCGGCGUAGGAGCGCUGAUCUAGGAUCCGUUCAUGUACUCGUCGUGUUCAUUACGAUCCAAAAGGCCAAUACUGAUCCCAGAUCAGCCCUUCUACUCUGAGAUGCUGUGCGGUAACGGGCCCAGAUCUAAACACUGAACACAUGAGCGUACAUUUAGGAUGACAACAAAGCACUUCAAUUACUGCAAUAAAGUUCUUAAAGAAAAAAGUCCACAGUACUUGGACCGAUCCCAAUAGCAGUUGAUCAAAUAAUGUGUCAUAAGGUCAUGGCAGAAAAGAAAAGGAUGUUGAUACCAGGAUCGGUGUGGCAUUUAUUUGAUUGGUAUUUUGUCAGUUAUGGAUCAAGUGUUUCUUUUGUCAUUGAGGCAUGUUAUCUUGGUGUGUGUUGGUAAUGUGGUGUGUGUUGGUCGGGUACUUGGUGUGUGUUGGUAAUAUAACAUUAUAACAUGACCUCUAAUCAACAUGUUUUAUGUCUGUGAUUCAGUGUCAGACAAGAGGCAGAGUCGGUGGAUCGGACCUACGCAGAGCCAAAGUGGUGAGUCAAUGACUCCUAGACACACGCACACCCACCAGGCCAAGUUGCAGGCCGACGUAGGAGAGACGUGGAAUCGUUGAAUAAUGCGUUGAGUUGAUGAGUUCACGUUACGCACACGCACACACACAGACUUCGCUUGUUCUCUCUCAAAUAAUGCAAUAUCUUGGCAAGCGAUGUAAUCCAUAGCCACCUCUUCCCCCCUCCUACGUCUGUCUGUCUGUCUGCCUGUCUGUCUGACUGUCUGACUAUCUCUCUCACAGUCUCCUACCAUAGAGGGAAGGCUGGACUCCAACUUAACGACAACACAGACAAGAGACACUCCUACCCUGGUGAGGCACGCACACACACACACACACACACACACACACA
rnacentral:lncRNA from 13 species